CCUUGUCUGCGGAAUGACCUCCAAUAUCUGCAGGCUGGCAUACGAGCUGAUGCAGGCCGCCCAUCCGGAUGCGUCGACUCGCGCCUCGUCGGUCGACCAGGAGUACUUUAUGCAUUAUGGGGUCGGGGACGUUGUGAAAGCUCGCUUCCCGCAUGAGCCGAGGAGCACAAAAGAGAUGGAAAUGCAAAAAGGAGACCUGGUGGACCGAUACGACCGGCA
rnacentral:lncRNA from 1 species